GAUGAACGCUGGCGGCGUGCUUAACGCAUGCAAGUCGAACGGUGAAGGCGGAGCUUGCUCUGCUGGAUCAGUGGCGAACGGGUGAGUAACACGUGAGCAAUCUGCCCCUGACUCUGGGAUAAGCGCUGGAAACGGCGUCUAAUACUGGAUACGAGCUGCGAAGGCAUCUUCAGCAGCUGAAAAGAACUUCGGUCAGGGAUGAGCUCGCGGCCUAUCAGCUUGUUGGUGAGGUAACGGCUCACCAAGGCGUCGACGGGUAGCCGGCCUGAGAGGGUGACCGGCCACACUGGGACUGAGACACGGCCCAGACUCCUACGGGAGGCAGCAGUGGGGAAUAUUGCACAAUGGGCGAAAGCCUGAUGCAGCAACGCCGCGUGAGGGACGACGGCCCUCGGGUUGUAAACCUCUUUUAGCAGGGAAGAAGCGAAAGUGACGGUACCUGCAGAAAAAGCGCCGGCUAACUACGUG
rnacentral:rRNA from 1 species